rnacentral:rRNA from 1 species
GACGGAGGUGGCAAGCGUUACUCGGAUUUAUUGGGUGUAAAGGGCAGGUAGGUGUUUUGAUAAGUGAGAGGUGAAAUCCUUCGACUCAAUUGAAGAAUUGCCUUUCAAACUGUCAGAAUUGAGUGUGAGAGAGGAAAGUGGAACUCUCGGUGUAAGGGUGAAAUCUGUAGAGAUCGAGAGGAACACCAAUAGCGAAGGCGGCCAUCUGGACGGUGACUGACGCUGAGACGCGAAAGCGUGGGGAGCAAACAGG